GGUGGCUUAGCGGUAAAGUGCUUGCCUUGCAUGCAUGAAGUCCUGGGUUUGAUUCCUCAGCACCA
rnacentral:tRNA from 1 species